rnacentral:piRNA from 1 species
UCUUCUUGAACUUCUGGGAUCUGGCCU